AACGCGGGGGAACCCGGGCCAGCGGUCCGACUCGUAAAGUGGGUUGGAGUUGGUGUUGUGUCACACUCAGCUGUUGUUUCUCCCAAAACGUCGGCAGCCCCAUUUGAUCUCAUGCUUGUGGGCCUGCAGUCCACCUCAGGUGGAUGAUUA